UUUGUCCUACGGGCGCAGCAGUGAGGAAUAUUGGUCAAUGGGCUUACGCCUGAACCAGCCAAGUCGCGUGAGGGAAGACUGCCCUAUGGGUUGUAAACCUCUUUUGUCAGGGAGCAAUUGGCGCUACGUGUAGCGUUAUCGAGAGUACCUGAAGAAAAAGCAUCGGCUAACUCCGUGCCAGCAGCCGCGGUAAUACGUAGGUGGCGAGCGUUAUCCGGAAUGAUUGGGCGUAAAGGGUGCGUAGGCGGCCUGCUAAGUCUGGAGUGAAAGGU
rnacentral:rRNA from 1 species